rnacentral:rRNA from 1 species
AUUGAACGCUGGCGGAAUGCUUUACACAUGCAAGUCGAACGGCAGCACGGGUGCUUGCACCUGGUGGCGAGUGGCGAACGGGUGAGUAAUAUAUCGGAACGUAUCCAAUAAUGGGGGAUAACUAGCCGACAGGUUAGCUAAUACCGCAUACGCCCUGAGGGGGAAAGCUGGGGAUCGUAAGACCUAGCGUUGAUGGAGCGGCCGAUAUCUGAUUAGCUAGUUUGUGGGGUGAGAGCCUACCAAGGCGACGAUCAGUAGCUGGUCUUAGAGGACCACCAGCCACACUGAAACUGAAUCACGGUCCAGACUCCUACGGGUGGCAGCAGUGGUGAAUUUUGGACAAUGGGGGCAACCCUGCUCGAGACACUCCGCGUGAGUGAAGAAGGCCUGCGGGUUGUAAAGCUCUUUCGCAAGGGAAGAAAACUCGAUCUCUAAUAUAGGUUGAGGCUGACGGUACCUUGAUAAGAAGCACCGGCUAACUACGUGCCAGCCGCCGCAGUAA